GGGUCAGUAGGUUGGUCGUGCCACCGGUACGUACUGGUCUCACUGAUUCCUCCUUCCUGAAGAACCGUAAUGCCAUUAAUUUGGUGUUGCGGGGAAACAGGACUGUUACUUUGAGAAGAUUAGAGUGUUUAAAGCAAGCUAACGCUUGAAUACAUUAGCAUGGAAUAAUGAAAUAGGACGAUCGAUCCUAUUUUGUUGGUUUCUAGGAUUGACGUA
rnacentral:rRNA from 1 species